GAUGAAGAACGCAGCGAACUGCGAUAAGUAAUGUGAAUUGCAGAAUUCAGUGAAUCAUCGAGUCUUUGAACGCACAUUGCGCCCCCUGGCAUUCCGGGGGGCAUGCCUGUCCGAGCGUCAUUGCUGCCCUUCAAGCCCGGCUUGUGUGUUGGGUCGUCGUCCCCCCCGGGGGACGGGCCCGAAAGGCGGCGGCGGCACCGCGUCCGGUCCUCGAGCGUAUGGGGCUUUGUCACCCGCUCGAUUAGGGCCGGCCGGGCGCCAGCCGGCGUCUCCAACCUUCUAUUUUACCAGGUUGACCUCGGAUCAGGUAGGGAUACCCGCUGAACUUAAGCAUAUCAAUAAGCGGAGGA
rnacentral:misc_RNA from 1 species